GUUACAUGUGAGUAAGAGAGAUAGGAAAGAAAAUAAAGGGGAAAUGCAGAACUCAUUUAGAUCAAACUCUCUGUGCCUAAGUGUACAGAAAAUCUGCAAGCUGUCAAAGUUUUAGUCCAUUCUUAGUCUUAUUGGAUGUUGUACAAUUUGCAAAAUCAUUCUGAGGUAGGAAAUUAGCCUAUUAAAAAUAAGAAAACACAAAAACAAAGCUUUAACAUCAUACCAAGAGAUAUGUGGCUUCUAGUUACUGUGGAAGGGGCAAUCAAUAGAAAAGGCAGGAAAGAAAAGAAAGAGCAUCCGCAACAGAGAUUUCCUGGAAUGAAAAAUGUGCCUGGAUUGUUACUCUAUUGAAUUUUGCUGCUGUAGGACAUAUUAAAGGACAAAUCAACUCUCAAGCAUCCAUUCAAAGUAUACGAGGUAAUUUUUGAGCUGCUUUAUCUACUAAGUUAAAGAUUACAUGGAGAAAGAAUUUGGGCUGACGUACCUGGAGACAGGAGUAAGAACUGGGAUGCAGAAUUCAGGCAGGAAGCAAGACAGAAGGAAUCUCGAUAGAGGCAGAAAUUGGGAUGGACAGUGUCUCAGACUGGAGGAGACCAUCUGAUUCACUCUCUGAACACAACUGGAUGCUGAUCACUACACAUUAUUCAAGCAAAUAUGCCAGUGGGCUCAGGAGCAGGAGGGGAGGCAUUUUCAAGAGCCGGGGUGAGCUCUUCCUUCCAUGGGCUGACAUGUGUGGAAACUGAGAGUUGCACCCUAACAGACUAGUUUUUGUAAGAAUAUCUCCACUAUGUUUCUGAAAUUUAGACUUCUAGCAUACAUGCUGUAUGCAUGCUGGGCAGCAAACCUUUGCACCUUUAAAAAUUUCAUCCAUAUAUUUCUGCCU
rnacentral:lncRNA from 1 species